rnacentral:lncRNA from 1 species
GCCUUAGUUACUUUUCCUUCACACCACCUGCCGCUGCCGCGUGUGUGACCUCAGGUGGCUGGCUGUUUGUUGAGGGUCAGAGCUGAGCUCCUGGGCUUCAGUUAGCCAAAAGGAGCUGAUGAGUGUGAAACACUUGGCUCCCGAAGCUGGCACGGGACUGCACAUCCAGAGGCCAGCCUGUCCUGCCACCGUCUCCAUGAUACCAUGAGGAGCCGAACUCAGAGGGUGGAGUCUGAGAGUGGCAACCAGUACCUGGCAGAGCCCCACCAUCCCCUGGACCUGGAUGCUGAGCUCCAACCUCCUUCUAGAGAAGGGAACAGCUGCCUAGAAGGAUUCUCGCACUCGGAGCCAGUGGACUUCUUUAGGAAAUUGAAACACUGAUUACAAGACCAAUGCAUAUUCAUUGAAGAUAAUUUAGAAAAUGCAGUUUGCCAAAGGAAGAAAAUAAAACUCACCAGCAUUCUCACUACCCAGAGAUAGCUACAGCUGCUGGGCUGCCGUGUGUAAUUUAAGACUUUGAGGGAAAAUUUAAAAGACCAAGAUUCCUGAGCUGCUCUUAGGCAUGGCCCAGACAGGGCUUCUCCGACUAGUGCCACUGAGGUCCUGAGCCAGGGGGGCUUUUUGCUGCGGGCCACCUGUGCACUGCUGAUGCCUGGCCAUAGCCCUGCCUCUGCCCACCCUAUGGCAGCACUACCCCUCCCCGACGGCCAUGCUGGUCCUGGCCGAACAUGGCUGGGGCUGGAGGAAGAGGCUCUGAAGUUAGCCAUGCCUGGCUUUUCAUCCCAGUUUGGGUAUAGACUCAGGCAAGUCAGCUAAGGACCAGGGGCUUCAUGGUCCCCAUUGUGAGACAGGGGGACCAGCAGGCAGAGCAGAUGUGGCGGGGACACAGAGAGCACUCAGUAUGAUGGAGCUGCUGUUGGCAUCAGCACCUGGUAGAUGGUGGCCUUUUUGGUGAGGUCCAAUUUCACAGAACCCAAAGAAGUCAACCACAGAACUCACGUGUGCUUUGCUCCUGAGCAAGACAUGUCGCUUGUCUCCUGGCAUCUCUGGGAGCCAACAGGAGGCUAAGAGUGUGGCUCUGGGCCUGGCCAGCCUGCUUCUGUGACCCACCUUUGUCCCCAACUUGUGUGACAUCAGGCCACACAGGGACGGGGCAGGAGAGAGCGAGAAGGACAGAGGGCAGAAGGAGAAGAUCCCUGGCCAUCCGGAGUCCACAGAAGCAGCCUCCACUCCGACUCCUGGGAGCCACCUGUCACCUUCGGUGCUCUCACUGGUCAAGCGUACCCAGCGCAGUGAAUGGAUCCUCCAGAGGGCGCUGAGGGUUGGCAACAGCAGGACCAGGAGACAAACAGCCCUAGGGGCGGGGGCACAGGGACAGCUGUGUGUUGUCCCCCACCCUGGACCUCGGGGUUGCCACAGGGAUCCUGAGUGGGAUGUGUCGCAUGGCUGGCCUCUGUCUAGGUGCCUCCUAAGCAGUGUGAAUUGAGCAUGGAGCAGCCGUGUCCCCAAGAGAGAAGCCAAAUGUGGUGACGGGAAGAAAAAGCGGCACAAAUGCUCAAAAGGCUGUUUACAACCUCCAGCUCUGACCACGGACCAGCAUCUAAUCCUAAUCACAGAAAUACGAGUUCCAGCCCGCUCAUGGAAUGCAUUUCAGGCUCACCCUCUCUCCCGCCUUCCCUCCACCCCACCCCGCUCCAGCCAAGAAAUCAAUUUUCUAUGUCACUCGUAAUUGCCAUAAUUAGUGCUGUCUGUAUAGAAAUACCAGGUCCUUUGUUGCUCCCUGUCCUGAGCUGUGCCAUUAAAACAGAGCUUUGACAUUGGUGAAGUCUAAACGUCCAAAUUUAAUAGGGCCACGUUUGUUAAAAAUUUCAGCUGAGUCCUGCUUCAAAUUUCCAUUUACAACCCCUUAUAUCUGUAAGGAUUAGGUUUCGCUCACUAUAACAAUAAAAAAUUAUGACUUAAAUUAGAUCAGAAUGUAUUAUUCUCACAUAAAAAC